UCUCCGCCGCCUCGCGGCUGCCAGGGGCGGGGCGGCCGCCCAGCCGAAGGGCAAGAGCGGGCCCUGGUGGGCGGAACGGAGGGGUGCAGCGGCCCGCACCGGCUCGGCGCUCUUCCUUCCCCCGCCCCCGCCCUCUCCGUCCACCUGGGGGCCUUCCCGCCAAAACCUCUCACCUGUGCCUGCCCAGCGCCCGCAGCUGCGGCCGCGGCGGAGGACCGCCUGAGGCAGCGCGUUGCUCGCGGGCCUUUCUUCGGAUCCAUAGAGAUCCUGUUUCUACAUAAAUCCCUCCACACGUUGAUGUCUGAGGAAUCAUUCUGACAGCAGCACGGUCGCUCACGGACGUCCUCACGGAAUGUCAGCGUCUGAAGACACACAGAGCUCCCGAGCCAGAGCCAGGGACGGACGUCAGAGCCUCAGCUCCUCCUAAAAUAAAUCAGAUGCAUCGAGAAGAGGCAUGGUUUAUCUCAGCCAGAGCUUGACCUGCUCACAUCUCUCUGCUUUUUGACAGUCAUAGACAGUCAUAACUGCCUUUCUAGCCCUGGGAUGUAAAUGGAAAAUUCAAGCAUCUGAGCAAGACUUUCCAAAAUGUAGAGGCUGUCAAAGCAGCUGAUGGAAUAGAUGGAAUAUUAUGCCAGGCACCUAGGUUGUGGACUCAAGCCAGCUCUCAGGCUGGGAACUCACUGAUAGAAGAGGAGGCCAGGUUCUUCAGGAGGAGGGACCCUGCAAUGCCACAGUUGGCAUACAUGUUUCUUCCAGGAAGAGAGGCCUGUGAGAACCUGGAGGGGCUACCUGUGGCACCCAGAUGGAACAUGUGGAUCUGAUUAGCAUAAUGGAUGGACUCUGAUAGACGCUGACCUGUUGUCUUCAAGAUAACAGGUUGGUUACUUAGGGUGGAGGCAGAAACCAGAGGCAGGAGGCAGCUACUCACCAUGCCCAGGGGGCCUAGAGGGCCGGGCCACCCGCAGGCGCUGGCUGCUACCUCGGGGCAGCACCAACUGGGAUUCAGUAGUAGGAUACAGUGACGCAGCGAUCCAGAACUGCUUGGCCAAGUUGGAAUCCUGUUCGGAAGAUCCUGCGAACACCAGUCCCUGGGGACAAAUUUCAACGGAUUUCUGGUGGCUGGGGAGGCCUCCGCCGGCCCUCGUUUCCAUGGCAACUCAGGACGCCGCUCCGAGUUUCCUCCUCUUCUGCCAGCCCCGCCCUGCAGAGAACCGUCAAGUUGGCGGCCACCACCGCCCCAAGCCCUCCUUCCUCUCCUGGGUAGAUGCUGGGGUCCAGGGCGUGCCUGUGUGCUCUCUGAAGCCCUCUUCUGCACUAUCACAGGCUUCCGGACCAGUCCAAGCCUUGGCGGCCCGGAUUGCCACAGCUCAGCACACCCUAUGUGGAUAUUGGUUGGAGAAUUCAAUAGAGCAGCUAACAUCCUAGUCUAUGGGAGCCAGAGCUCUGAACUGGGCCAGGAAGUACCUGUGUAAGGUUUUUGUUGUAUAUUCCCCUCUGCCCCAUCCUCUUAAGAGAAAUCUUACGGAAGAAGCUGGAUUUAGAUUGUAAAUGCAUUUACUAAUCAGUCUCACCGAAUGCUGCCUGCACUGCAACAGUUGUAAAUGAUCACUUAAAAGGACUAUAUCUGGGGAUCCCUGGGUGGCGCAGUGGUUUGGCGCCUGUCUUUGGCCCAGGGCUCGGUCCUGGAGACCCGGGAUCGAAUCCCACGUCGGGCUCCCGGUGCAUGGAGCCUGCUUCUCUC